UUAGCUAGAGAAAAAUAAAAUAGGAAAGAAAUAAGAAAAAUAGGGAAAAGAAAAGAGCAAACCCUUACCUUCUUCUUUCACUUUAUGGCGUGAAACUCUCCCCCACCAUCACCAAGGACUAGCUCACUUAGACUUCGAUCUUUUUUGGAGUUUAAUCAUCACAAGACUACGGAUAACGGAGCGUUAUGAUGCAUCUUUGGUGUAAAAAGAGGAAGAUUCAAGGAAAGGAAGCAAAGAGCAAAGCCGGGAGUGAAAGAAGCAGAGCUUUCGUGAAGACAGAAGGCUGCACGAAUCGUGCAAGCUCAAUUCAAGCCUUGCACGAUUCGUGCAUGACAAAUAGAAAGGCAGAUUGUUUUCCAACAUUCUGCACGGAUCGUGCAAACAGGGAUAAGUAGGGUUGCAUAAUUCGUGCAAAGAGUUAAUUGAAGAAUCGAAAAUCUGAAGGAAAAAAGGACAAGGCUUUUGCACAUUUCCUCUUUUGGCCCAACACUCAUUUGUAGGAUGUUUUAUUUCCUUUUUGAGAAUACUAUAAGUACUACUUUAUGAUUCAAAUUAGGGUAUGCAACAUUCAUUACUGUUAUUCCUUUUGUGUUGCCUCGUAGAAUAGCUUAUAAUCUCUUUAGAAUUUAGUGCUCCAUCUUUUCCACCAUUGUUGGUGAAGUUGAAGCUUUUAAGUUUGAUUAAACAAGAUCUCUUAUUAAUUAAUGCAAGUUUAUUUA